UUUCAGUCGUGAGGAAGGUGUUAAGGUUAAUAAGCUUAGCAAUUGACGUUAGCGACAGAAGAAGCACCGGCUAACUCCGUGCCAGCAGCCGCGGUAAUACGGAGGGUGCGAGCGUUAAUCGGAAUUACUGGGCGUAAAGGGCACGCAGGCGGUUAAUUAAGUUGGAUGUGAAAUCCCCGGGCUUAACCUGGGAAUGGCAUUCAAGACUGGUUAGCUAGAGUCUUGUAGAGGGGGGUAGAAUUCCAUGUGUAGCGGUGAAAUGCGUAGAGAUGUGGAGGAAUACCGGUGGCGAAGGCGGCCCCCUGGACAAAGACUGACGCUCAUGUGCGAAAGCGUGGGGAGCAAACAGGAUUAGAUACCCUGGUAGUCCACGCUGUAAACGAUGUCGAUUUGGAGGUUGUGGUCAAGAACUGUGGCCUCCGGAGCUAACGCGUUAAAUCGACCGCCUGGGGAGUACGGCCGCAAGGUUAAAACUCAAAUGAAUUGACGGGGGCCCGCACAAGCGGUGGAGCAUGUGGUUUAAUUCGAUGCAACGCGAAGAACCUUACCUACUCUUGACAUCCAGAGAAGCUUUUAGAGAUAGAGGCGUGCCUUCGGGAACUUUGAGACAGGUGCUGCAUGGCUGUCGUCAGCUCGUGUUGUGAAAUGUUGGGUUAAGUCCCGCAACGAGCGCAACCCUUAUCCUUUGUUGCCAGCGAUACGGUCGGGAACUCAAAGGAGACUGCCGGUGAUAUACCGGAGGAAGGUGGCGAUGACGUCAAGUCAUCAAGGCACU
rnacentral:rRNA from 1 species